rfam:Ictidomys tridecemlineatus contig069578, whole genome shotgun sequence.
GGGGUUUUGGCUCAUCAGUAGAGCGCUCACCUAGCACGUGGGAGGCCCUGGGUUCAAUUCUCAGCACCA